AGAAUAAUGUUUCUAUAAAUUUUAAAUGUCGAUCAAGUGCCAUGUCUGGAAUAGUGUUAACGUUGUGAAGUGAAAUAACUUAUUUCACAUAAAUUUUAUAAAAAUUUUACCAUUUAAAGUAUUUUAAAGUUAUUAAACAUUUCAAUAUUUUUUCAUAAAGAUGGUUUGUUAAUUGUGAAUCGUAUAUUUUUAGAAUUUUUCUGUUUCAUGAAAAAUACAUGCAUACAAACAUACUGGACGAUUUUUUAAUAUUGUACAAUAGAAUUUAGAUCAAUAUUUGAGAAUAAUAAGUUUCGAAUACGAUUUACGGAACAUUCCGCCAGGACUAGGCAAUGACAGACGAUGAUGUGUUGCUGCCUACAAUACCCGUUAGAGAACUACUGGGACCAAUUGCUGAUUUAAACUUUUCUAUUGUACCAUUUAUUAAGUCUCGUGCGGAAAAUUUCUUUUGUUGGUCUUUGGAUAUUGGCGUAAUCCAGUUAGCUGUGGUGAAUAUAGACAACGUGGGAUCACAUUCCAUGUAGUUAUUAGCGAAUUGUACUUUAUCCGCUUGAGAGCCAACGUACCAAUAUUUCCAAGCCAAAAAAGUAACCAACAGAAUGUAAUUCCAUAACGGGUCCUAUAUAACGUAUAAUACAAUCGAAAUUUGUACCGGGUUUAUUAAACAUUUCGCCCGCAACACUGACAAAUUCA